rnacentral:rRNA from 1 species
UACGGAGGGUGCAAACGUUGCUCGGAAUCAUUGGGCGUAAAGCGCACGUAGGCGGCUUGUUAAGUCGGAUGUGAAAGCCCUCGGCUCAACCGAGGAAGUGCAUACGAAACUGGCGAGCUUGAAUAUGGAAGAGGGUCGCGGAAUUCCCGGUGUAGAGGUGAAAUUCGUAGAUAUCGGGAGGAACACCAGUGGCGAAGGCGGCGACCUGGGCCAAUAUUGACGCUGAGGUGCGAAAGCGUGGGAGCAAACAGGAUGAGAU